GAUGAACGCUGGCGGCGUGCCUAAUACAUGCAAGUCGAGCGAAUGGAUUGAGAGCUUGCUCUUAUGAAGUUAGCGGCGGACGGGUGAGUAACACGUGGGUAACCUGCCCAUAAGACUGGGAUAACUCCGGGAAACCGGGGCUAAUACCGGAUAACAUUUUGAACCGCAUGGUUCGAAAUUGAAAGGCGGCUUCGGCUGUCACUUAUGGAUGGACCCGCGUCGCAUUAGCUAGUUGGUGGGGUAACGGCUCACCAAGGCAACGAUGCGUAGCCGACCUGAGAGGGUGAUCGGCCACACUGGGACUGGGACAUGGCCCAGACUCCUACGGGAGGCAGCAGUAGGGAAUCUUCCGCAAUGGACGAAAGUCUGACGGAGCAACGCCGCGUGAGUGAUGAAGGCUUUCGGGUCGUAAAACUCUGUUGUUAGGGAAGAACAAGUGCUAGUUGAAUAAGCUGGCACCUUGACGGUACCUAACCAGAAAGCCACGGCUAACUACGUGCCAGCCGCCGCAGUAA
rnacentral:rRNA from 1 species